AUGGCGGCGUCUCUCCGCGCGGCGGCGGCGGCGGCCACGAGGAUCCUGCGCCCGGCGGUGCUUCCAGGGGAGCGGCUUCGCCGGCUCGUCCACACCGAGCAGCAUCCCGCACCCGCCUGUUCCUUGAAGGAAGGAUACCGUGGGUCGCAAAUCCAGCAGAAGAAAGAGGAGCUGUACGCGGCUUCCCAGCUAGACAGGCGCCCAAUAACUACAGCCAAGAAGGUGACCGAGUGGACUGCGACAGCGUUUGUUCUUGUUGCUGGUGCGGUCACUCUGGGUGGCCUAGCUACUGCUGAGGGAGCGCACAAGCAAGAUGAAAGUGAUGAAAGGCGUUGCCAAUGUCGUCCGUGGCUAUGCGCCGAGUGCGAGCAGAGUCAGAGUCUUAGGCGUACAAAUGCCUGA
rnacentral:rRNA from 1 species